rnacentral:rRNA from 1 species
GGUUCUGAGAGGAAGGUCCCCCACAUUGGAACUGAGACACGGUCCAAACUCCUACGGGAGGCAGCAGUGAGGAAUAUUGGUCAAUGGCCGGAAGGCUGAACCAGCCAAGUCGCGUGAGGGAAUAAGGCCCUACGGGUCGUAAACCUCUUUUGUCAGGGAGCAAGGCCGCCCACGUGUGGACGGAAGGAGAGUACCUGGAGAAAAAGCAUCGGCUAACUCCGUGCCAGCAGCCGCGGUAAUACGGAGGAUGCGAGCGUUAUCCGGAUUUAUUGGGUUUAAAGGGUGCGUAGGCGGCCUGCCAAGUCAGCGGUAAAAUUGCGGGGCUCAACCCCGUACAGCCGUUGAAACUGCCGGGCUCGAGUGGGCGAGAAGUAUGCGGAAUGCGUGGUGUAGCGGUGAAAUGCAUAGAUAUCACGCAGAACCCCGAUUGCGAAGGCAGCAUACCGGCGCCCUACUGACGCUGAGGCACGAAAGUGCGGGGAUCAAACAGGAUUAGAUACCCUGGUAGUCCGCACAGUAAACGAUGAAUGCUAGCUGUCCGGGGGGAUUGACCCCUGG